AUGUGUGGGAUCCCAGUCCCCACCAGACAGAGCUCUGCAGGUGCCUGGGCUUGCUGUGGGCGGGCGCUAUACAGCGCACGCAGUGGUGGCCGCCGGGCUAACUCCAGAGUCCCAGGUGAGCUGGAGCCCCUCUCCCUCUUCCGUGCCCUCUGCUCCUGUGUGCUGCCAUGGGGUCCCGCCAUCCCCACCCUAGACCCCAACCCAAGUCCUAGAUGGGAUUUUCAUGUCCUCAUCUGUGCCGAGGCUGUUGACCAUCUCCUCGCUUCUUUUUGGUGCCUGGCGGAAAGCUUUGUCCUGUUGUGUCUGUUUUCCUCCAAAAAGUAGAAUUGACUUACGCAGAUGGUUAAGAGCUUCUCAGUGCUUUGUAUUAUAGUCGAUUGUUAAGUAAGCAACAGCAUGACAGUCACUUUAUCACGAUGACCUGUGAUAGGCUGACUCAUAACUAGGAGAAACCACUCCGUGACCGAGGGCUGCUCUCUUCCCAGAGCCUUUUCCUGUUUUGUCAGUAGCUUGGCGGGGGGCUGUCUGUGUUCCCCAGAUCUUCCCUAUUCUGUCUCUCUGGUCAGCUCCUUCCUCAAAGGGAUUUUCUUCUUCCAGAAGGACGCUAUAGCAAAUGAAACUGAAGAUUUUCUUGUGAUGGUGGUUU
rnacentral:lncRNA from 1 species